GACGAACGCUGGCGGCGUGCCUAACACAUGCAAGUCGAACGGGACUUAAUGGAAUGCGACUUCGGUCAAAGGAAGUUAAGUUUAGUGGCGAACGGGUGAGUAACGCGUGAGGAACCUGCCUUUCCAGUGGGGGACAACAGUUGGAAACGACUGCUAAUACCGCAUAAUGUAAUCGGACCACAUGAUCUGAUUACCAAAGCUUUAUGUGCUGGAAGAUGGCCUCGCGUCUGAUUAGCUAGUUGGUGAGGUAACGGCCCACCAAGGCGACGAUCAGUAGCCGGUCUGAGAGGAUGAACGGCCACAUUGGGACUGAGAUACGGCCCAGACUCCUACGGAGGCAGCAGUGGGGAAUAUUGGGCAAUGGGGGAAACCCUGACCCAGCAACGCCGCGUGAAGGAAGAAGGCCUUCGGGUUGUAAACUUCUUUUACCAGGACGAAGAACGUGACGGUACCUGGAGAAAAAGCAACGGCGUAACUAACGUGCCAGCA
rnacentral:rRNA from 1 species